rnacentral:lncRNA from 1 species
GCCCUAAAACGUCUGUUGCAUGCUAAAGCUGAAUGUGACAAGACUUUUGUUCUCUUGUUUUGUUCACUUUUAAUUUUCCUUCUCUUCGAUUUUCUGGUCAGAACUCAGCAGAUCUUCCUCCAAACUGACCAUUUCAGAAGUUGAUAGGGUAUAUAGAACUAUAACAUCCUGCGUAGUUUAUGAUUAGUAGAACAUAUGACCUGGCUUCAAGCUUUUGCGUUCUCUAUGAAGAUCCUGAUUAAUUUUUCUCCUACCAAAGUCGGAAUUCCCAAAAAAUAAAUAGAAUUGCUUGCUCAAGCCUCAUGCCUCAUAGAUUGAAUAACUGUCAUGGUUGUUUCAGUAAAACCAAAAGCAAGUUAAAAUCUCAAUCUCUCAUUGGCUGCGAAGUGUAAUUUAAUUAUUGAGGGAAUAAUGGUGGAUAUGCAGUAUUUUGUAUACGUCUGAGAUGAUUUGUAGUACUAAAAUAACAGAUCAAACUUCGGGUUGGAUUAGUCAAAAUCUGAUAGCAAAUUCUCAUAAAAUUGCAGUUGUCGAACCUCGAUUGAGUUCAUCAGAGACUGAACAGAUAAUGUAGUUAACUAGUUCCACUGCACUUGCAUGAAAGACAUUACAUGCAUGCAAGAAAAAAGAGAUCCAUAUUUUGUAAAAACAAGAAACAGCCACAAAAAUAGAAGAAGGGUGAAUGAGAGGCUCUCCCCGUCAUACCAAAGGAAUAACUAGAUAGAACCCUCUUAAUACAAACAAUUGAAGUCUGCAUGAUCUUAGCAAGACUUUUUUUUGUAACCAAGCUCAGGAGGAAUAACAAAAGGAAAAAAAAUGGAAGAUUUGAACGGGAUAAGUUACAUAAUUUAAUAUAAUAAAUUAAUAAAAAAAUAAUAAAAAAAAUAAUUAAUACGAACAAAGUCUUGCAAGGUCAAGAAAAAUAACCAUGCAAAUUUAAAUUUAAAUAUACUUAAAGUUAAGCUCAGAUAAGAUAGCACCGCUCAAAUCUUAUACUAUGCUUUUUGUUCUCCACCGGUGAUGAAAGACUUUCAGGCUCCAAACCUUCAUGCACGAGCUACCGACGGAAUUUGCUUCUGGGUUCCCGAAGGCAGCCUGUGAGCAGGAAGAGGUUGAAAAGACGGGGACAGACAUAAACGAACUAGAAGAGUUAAGAAUGUGCAUGUCUAUUAUGAAGGGAAGGGUGAAAAGAUAGAAGACGGAAAGAGAAGAUGCCAACUGAACAGAUGGAUGGAGGUUAUAUAGAGAAAAUGGAACAGAAAUAGUACUGACAUUCCCGAAUGAGUACUAUGGAAGUGAUCCAGCUUGUGAAGAAAGAGAAGAGUAAGAGAACACUUACAAAAAAAGUGCAUUAAUAUUUCAGCCUAUCCUCUCUCCUAGCAUACUCUUUGGCAUGAUCAGUGAGACGAGUGAUGUGAGAAGAGAAGAGGGGCAAGGUACAAAGCAGAGAUAGCAGUGGAAGUAAUGUGACUGAUCACACUAAUCACUGCGUGCUCUAAAGAGCAUCUGUCAUAUUUGUACAUCUCUUACCUUCUCACUUACGUUAAUUAAAUGCAUGCUGUAGUACUAGUUAGUAAACCAAAGAAUAAAAGCACACAGCAGAGGAAAAAAAGAGAGAAAAACAGUCGACAUUAUAUAUUUUUCAUGU